AACGAACGCUGGCGGCAUGCCUAACACAUGCAAGUCGAACGAGACCUUCGGGUCUAGUGGCGCACGGGUGCGUAACGCGUGGGAAUCUGCCCUUGGGUACGGAAUAACAGUUAGAAAUGACUGCUAAUACCGUAUAAUGACUUCGGUCCAAAGAUUUAUCGCCCAGGGAUGAGCCCGCGUAGGAUUAGCUUGUUGGUGAGGUAAAGGCUCACCAAGGCGACGAUCCUUAGCUGGUCUGAGAGGAUGAUCAGCCACACUGGGACUGAGACACGGCCCAGACUCCUACGGGAGGCAGCAGUGGGGAAUCUUGCGCAAUGGGCGAAAGCCUGACGCAGCGACGCCGCGUGAGGGAUGACGGUUUUCGAUCGUAAACUACUGUUGUUAGGGGAAGAACAAGUACCGGAGUAACUGCCGGUACCUUGACGGUACCUAACCAGAAAGCCACGGCUAACUACGUGCCAGCAGCCGCGGUAAU
rnacentral:rRNA from 1 species